rnacentral:rRNA from 1 species
UACGUAGGGCGCAAGCGUUGUCCGGAAUUAUUGGGCGUAAAGAGCUCGUAGGCGGUUUGUCGCGUCUGCUGUGAAAACCUAAGGCUCAACCUUGGGCUUGCAGUGGGUACGGGCAGACUAGAGUGCGGUAGGGGUGACUGGAAUUCCUGGUGUAGCGGUGGAAUGCGCAGAUAUCAGGAGGAACACCGGUGGCGAAGGCGGGUCUCUGGGCCGAUGACUGACGCUGGAGGAGCGAAAGCGUGGGGAGCAAACAGG